GACGAACGCUGGCGGCGUGCCUAACACAUGCAAGUCGAACGGAGUUAAUUAUUUAGAUCCCUUCGGGGUGACGAAUUUUUAACUUAGUGGCGGACGGGUGAGUAACGCGUGAGAAACCUGCCUUACAGAGGGGGACAACAGUUGGAAACGACUGCUAAUACCGCAUAAUGUAUUUUGAGGGCAUCCUCUUAAUACCAAAGGAGCAAUCCGCUGUAAGAUGGUCUCGCGUCCGAUUAGAUAGUUGGUGAGGUAACGGCUCACCAAGUCUGCGAUCGGUAGCCGGACUGAGAGGUCGAUCGGCCACAUUGGGACUGAGACGCGGCCCAGACUCCUACGGGAGGCAGCAGUGGGGGAUAUUGCACAAUGGGGGAAACCCUGAUGCAGCAACGCCGCGUGAAGGAAGAAGGUCUUCGGAUUGUAAACUUCUGUUUUUAGUGAAGAAUAAAUUGACGGUAGCUAAAGAGGAAGCCACGGCUAACUACGUGCCAGCCGCCGCAGUAACAC
rnacentral:rRNA from 1 species